rnacentral:tRNA from 1 species
UGGGGAUGUAGCUCAGUGGUGGAGUACUUGCCUAGCCUGAGCAAGGCCCUGGGUUCCAUCCCCAGCUCCUGAA